GUUGUGAGGUUAAGCGACUAAGCGUACACGGUGGAUGCCCUGGCAGUCAGAGGCGAUGAAGGGCGUACUAAUCUGCGAUAAGCGCCGGUAAGGUGAUAUGAACCGUUAUAACCGGCGAUACCCGAAUGGGGAAACCCAGUGUGAUUCGUCACACUAUCAUUAACUGAAUCCAUAGGUUAAUGAGGCGAACCGGGGGAACUGAAACAUCUAAGUACCCCGAGGAAAAGAAAUCAACCGAGAUUCCCCCAGUAGCGGCGAGCGAACGGGGAGGAGCCCAGAGCCUGAAUCAGCAUGUGUGUUAGUGGAAGCGUCUGGAAAGGCGCGCGAUACAGGGUGACAGCCCCGUACACAAAAGCGCAUGUGCUGUGAGCUCGAUGAGUAGGGCGGGACACGUGGUAUCCUGUCUGAAUAUGGGGGGACCAUCCUCCAAGGCUAAAUACUCCUGACUGACCGAUAGUGAACCAGUACCGUGAGGGAAAGGCGAAAAGAACCCCGGCGAGGGGAGUGAAAAAGAACCUGAAACCGUGU
rnacentral:rRNA from 2 species